GCCGGGAUAGCUCAGCUGGUAGAGCAACGCAUUCGUAAUGCGUGGGUCGUGGGUUCGAGUCCCAUUCCCGGCUCCA
rnacentral:tRNA from 2 species